GAUGAACGCUGGCGGCGUGCCUAACACAUGCAAGUCGAGCGGCAGCGAGGGGUGCUUGCACCCUGUCGGCGAGCGGCGGACGGCUGAGUAACGCGUGGGAACGUGCCCCAAAGUGAGGAAUAACUGCCCGAAAGGGUAGCUAAUACCGCAUAUUAUCUUCGGAUCAAAGGAUUUAUCCGCUUUGGGAGCGGCUCGCGUCGGAUUAGGUAGUUGGUGAGGUAAUGGCUCACCAAGCCGACGAUCCGUAGCUGGUCUGAGAGGAUGACCAGCCAGACUGGAACUGAGACACGGUCCAGACUCCUACGGGAGGCAGCAGUGAGGAAUCUUCCACAAUGAGCGAAAGCCUGAUGGAGCAACGCCGCGUGCAGGACGAAGGCCUUCGGGUUGUAAACUGCUUUUAUAAGUGAGGAAUAUGACGGUAACUUAUGAAUAAGGAUCGGCUAACUACGUG
rnacentral:rRNA from 1 species